GACGAACGCUGGCGGCGUGCUUAACACAUGCAAGUCGAACGGGAGUAUUGAAGAAGCUUGCUUCGGAAAUACUUUAGUGGCGGACGGGUGAGUAACGCGUGAGGAGCUGUCCUAUGCAGGGGGACAACAGUUGGAAACGACUGCUAAUACCCCAUAAGCCGAGAGGUAAAAGGAGCGAUCCGGCAGAGGAGGUACUCGCGUCCUAUCAGCUAGUAGGUGAGGUAACGGCUCACCUAGGCGAAGACGGGUAGCCGGCCUGAGAGGGCGAACGGCCACACUGGAACUGAGAUACGGUCCAGACUCCUACGGGAGGCAGCAGUGGGGAAUAUUGGGCAAUGGGGGCAACCCUGACCCAGCGACGCCGCGUGGGUGAAGAAAUCCCUCGGGAUGUAAAGCCCUGUUGUAUGGGAAGAUAAUGACGGUACCAUACGAGGAAGCCCCGGCAAACUACGUGCCAGCCGCCGCAGUAA
rnacentral:rRNA from 1 species